rnacentral:lncRNA from 1 species
CUGGCCUCAUGUGUGCUGUAAACACGGCUGGAACUACAGGGGAGGUCUGAGAAAGCUGGGAACCCUGGCCUCAACAGAAACAUGAUUCAGGUUUUCUCUCCAGCUCCCUGGGCGGCUGAACUGCUGGGAAGUUCCCUGGGAGGGUAGCAGGGAAGGUUGCUCCUGCCUUGCCCUGGCCGAAGGCCUUCAACAACAAUAAUACUGAGUAGGAGUUCUGUUGCCAUUUAGUGAAUGCUUUGGACAUGCUGCACCGUCUUUACACUUAUUAUUUCAUUAAAUCUUUUCGACUAGGAAAAAAAAGAAAAAAGAAAGAAAGAAAAAAGCAUGCUAGGGGGAUCACACCAGCCAAGACCUGCCAUGGCAAGAAAUCCCACUCAGGGCUGAUUCAGCUUUGUGUCCUCUACCCUGGCAACUGAUCACCCUGUUCUGCUGAGCAUCAGGUAAAGGGGUUGCCUUGCGUUGACAGACUGUGAUGCCUGUUAUUUAGAAUUUCCAUGGAAACAUGUCAGGGAUUUAUUCUGAGGGUAUUUCCAGAAAGGAUUAAUUGAAAAGUCCCAUCUUGAAUGUGGGUGGUACCACCCCAGGAGCUGAGGUUUUAAUUUUUUUUAAGAUUUAUUUUAUCUUGCUUACAUGUAUGCCUGCUCACUCUGUGUGUGUGUGUGUGUGUGUGUGUGUGUGUGUGUGUGUGUGUGUGUGAUGUGCCUGGUGCCUAUGGAGGUCAGAAGACAGUGUCUGAUUCCCCUGGAACUGGAGUUACAGAUGGUUGUGAGUUAUCAUAUGCAUACUAGGGACCAAACCUGGGUCCUCUGCAAGAGCAACACAUGCUGUUAACCUCUGAGCCAGCUCUCUAGCUGGGGUUUUAGAGGACUGAGUACAAGCAGGCAUGCCAACAUUAGUCCUGUCUGCUUCCUGACUGUGGAUCCAAUGUGACCAGAAGCCUCGUACUCUUGCAGCCUCCACUUCUCUACCAGUUCCUGCCUGCAAGCUAUGAGCUAGAAGAAUCCCUUCCCUCCUUUAGUCUCAUCUUGCCAAGUAUUUGGUCACAUCAAUGAGAAAAAUAACUAACACAGGAACCAUGUCAUAUAUUAGAGCUAUUCUGUUGCAGGAUAUUCCUUUAUGCUAUGUGAAGAUGUAGUUGUCUCGACCCACAGGACAGCAACCUAGAGCAAGAAGUCCAGGGAGGAGAAUGGGGACAAGAGACACGAGAGAAUGACCACAAGACAGGAUUCUGAUCAAGUGGCAAAUUUUAUUUUUUCCAGGGUAGCUUAUAUAGUCGUAUGGAGUAAAGAGGAGGGGGAGAAAAGGCCAGGAGCCAGGUGUUAGUUUAAGCAGGAUGUUAGAAAACUAUAGAAAGAGGAUGUUGGCAGGGUAAAAAGUUCAUGGGUGGUGGGGAGAGGGAGAGUUACCUAGGUGAGUGGUGGGAAGAAGGAAGGUAGUUUAGGUAAGUGGUCCUGUGGUUGGAACAAAGGAUUGAUGUCUGGGUCAUUUUGUUCCUUCUGGGUGCUCAUGCUUCUAGAAGCCAUUUAUAAUCAAAAGACAGUUCUAUAACCGUGUGGCUUGCCAAGUUUGGCCUAAAGGUUCAUGCCAAGCUGUAUGGCUCCCAACAUGAAGAUGAGUCAUUGUGAUUGGUUUAAUAAAGAGAUAGCUAGGCAGGAGAGAACAGAUGGGACUUCUCGGCAGAGAGAACUCUGGGAAGAAGAGAGGUGGAGAUGCCAGGGGAUGCAGACCAAGUCAGAGGUACAGAAAUGAAGAAGCGUGGGGACGGCUACGUGGUAGAACAUAGAUUAAUAGAAGCAGAUUAAUUUAAGUUAUAAAAGGUAGUUGGGGACAAGCUAAAGGCCAGGCUUUCAUAAUUAGUAAGAAGUCUCUGUGUUGUGGUUUGUAGGUGGUGGCCGAAAGGAAAGUCGUACUGCAUUAUUCUCAGCAUUAUAAUGUGCUCCCAGAGGAAAUGGCCGUUCUAUGCCCUCCAUCUCACCUGUAUUCCGAGGCUGACACCUUUCGAAUGAGAUGAUGGCCAGAGUAGGAGGGCUGGCUUAGGAAACUUUCUGGAGGUGACCACCAUAGGUUCACAUCAUAUGUAAAUAUUACCUGUUAGGCCUUAAUGUCUUGUAGGUAGCAAAAAGGCACUGAAUAUAUAAAGCCAAGCAUGGGGAUGAUAAUUCUAUAUUUCUAAAGACACUUGAAAGGGCUGGAGAGAUGGCUCAGUGAGUAAGACUAUGCUGUGUAGGCACGAGGAUCUGGGUUUGAAUCCCCACCACCCAAGUAAAGAACUGGAUGUGGUCAUACAAACACUUGUAUGCUCAACAUUGUGGGGCAGUGGGCAGGGACAGACAGGAGGCUUGCUGAGGCUUGCUGGUUACUCUCCUAGCUCCCAGUUCAGCAAAAGGUGUCAUUUCAAGGGCAUAAGGAAGACAGGAGUAGAACAAGACAUCCAAUGUCCACUUGUGGUCUUCAGUACCUGCACACACACACACACACACACACACACACACACACACACACACGAAUAUAAUGUGCACGUAAUAUAUCAGGGCAGUGGUGGAGGGACGGGGGAGACAGAUAAUUACUUGAAUUUUCAUGAAGAGGGGAAACUGGGGUACCUACAAAGUAGGGAGCUUCACAUAAAAUCUUCCAUACUUAAUUUUAAUACUUUUUGCUGUCUGGGGACCAAACCCAGAGCCUUGCAUAUGCUAGGCAAGUACUCUAUCUACAUUCUAAUCCUUAAAGUUCAUUACUGGAUAAAGUAGGGAAAUGCUGAGAUCGAAUCCAGCUGGUGUUGAGUACAUAGAAUUUUAUAAAAAUGGCAUCAUGCACCAGGUGGUGAUGAUGCACACCUUUAGUCCUAGCACUCGGAAGGUAGAGAUAGAUGGAUCUUUGAGUUUGAGGCCAGCCUGGUCCACAAAGCUACACAGAGAAACCCUGUGUGGAAAAAUAAAGUAAAAAAGAAAGAAAAAUGGCAUCAUUGUCUACUUUUCUGUAAGAAUGAUAUUUCAUAAAAAAUUACACAUGGAUACAUGUGUUCUCCUGUUUGGUACUGUGGUGGGCCAAAUAAUGGCUCCCCAAUUUGCCAAGGUUCUUAUCCCAGAAUGUGUGCAAAUAUUUAUUACCUUACAUGGCAGGUGAGAUCUUACUGGUAUGACUAAGGAUUCUGAAAGGGAGAGGUUCCUAUGGCUUGUCCAGGGUAAUAACAUAGGUCUGCAUAAGAAAGUGACAAGAGAGCCAGGCGUUGGUGGCGCACGCCUUUAAUCGCAGCACUCGGAAGGCAGAGGCUGGAGGAUCUCUGUGAGUUCGAGGCCAGCCUGAUUUACAGAGCGAGUUCCAGGACAGGCUCCAAAACAAUACAGAGAAACCCUGUGUCGAAAAACAAAAAAACAAAACAAAACAAAGAAGAAACAAAAGAAAAGAAAGUGGCAAGAGCAUCUGGAACAAAAGAAGACAUGAAGAUGGAGGUGGGAGAUGGAAUGGUGUCCCUCUCAGUGAACACGGGCUGCCUCUAGGAGGCAUGAAGGCAAGGAAUAGAGUCUGUUUGCAGCUGCUGCUGGUACUUGUUUCUAGUCCUCGGAGGAUUCAUUUUAGACCGCUAGAACCAUGAGAUUACAUGUUAGUUUUUUUUUAUUAUUUUAUGUAUAUGGUUGCUUUGCAUAAUGCCUAUCUGUGUAUCACAUGCAAGCCUCGAACCCACAGAGGCCAGAAGAGGACUUUGGCUCUCCUGGAGUUACAGACAGCUGUGACCACCAUGUGGAUGCUGGGAAUUGAACCUGGGUCCUCUGGAAGAGCAGCCAGUGCUCUUAACCACAGAGCCAUGUUUCCAUUCCUUACUGGUGUUGUUUUAAAACAUCGUCUGUGAGAUUGGAGAAAUGGUUCCAUAUUUAAAAGCACUUGCUCUUUCAGGGGAUCAGGGUUCAGUUCCCAGAACCAGUAUGGUGGCUCAAAACCAUCAUAUGAGCUGCAUAUACACACAUACACAUGAAAUAAAAUAAUACGAUAAAAAUAAACCAACAACUCUUUUAAAGACAUUUGUGGUAAGUUGCUAUAUCAGCAAUUGGGAAUGAAUAUGAGUAUGAUCAGCGAUUUGGAAGCUCAUGGCAACAUACUUUACUAACAAGAGGCCAAGGAGAAUAUCUUGCUAAGACAGUGGCUCUCAAACUUCCUAAUGCUGCGACUUUAUACAGUUCUGUAUAAAGUAUAAAGUUUUGUAUAAACUGCCCUCAUGUUGUGGUGACCCUCCCAACUAUAAAAUUAUUUUCAUUCCUAUUUCAUAACUGUAAUUUUGCUGCUGUUAGGAAUCAUAAUACAGAAAUCUGUGUUUUCCAAUGAUCUUAUGUGACCCCCAAAAGGGGUCCUGACCCACAGAUUGACAACCACUGUGCUAAACUGUGCUAAGCUGUGAUAGCAGAGCUGGCUUUCCAGAGCUGGUUCCCUCCAUCUCCACCCCACUCUCACCUUGUGACUGUGCUUGGCUCUCUGUCGCUCUGUAGAGAUGGUAGAGCGGCUGUAGAGGGAAAACGGAAAUGCAAAAGGCUUACAAGACUAUGAACUCAGCUGCACAGAAUGGACACCAUAAGAUGGCCUCAGGUACCCAUGCCUCCAGGAAUUCUGGGGCCAAGAUCCAAGGUAGUCCUGUCGAGUAGUUCAUCUGCUCAGGCUUGCUGUGGGUAUCAAACUCAGGCUGCCAGGCUUGGGAGCAAGUGCCUUCGCACACUGGGCCUUGUUGCCAACUCCACAUUUGUUCUCUACUCUAAAGUGACUUCUGAGAACGAAAGGUCCCCAGACCUGAGUAGAAACCAGGAUGUAGCUGCAGGCAGCAGCUGUGUUUGUGUUGGCAACAACCUAUUUCUUAAAUCUACGUCAGACCCCAAUGUGCCUUUGCUGUCUGUGUCCUUGUAGUAUGUUUUCAGACAUGGCUGCGGAGUCUGAAUCAGCAACAGAAGGUGGGACCUCAAGUGUGUCUAGGUUAUUCCAGAAUAUCCAGUGGCAGGAUCCCUGAACAAAGAAAGGUGAAAACAUGUCUCAGUGCUGGGCGGCCUUGUAACUAAGUGUUCUCAAAGGCAUGGGUGAAAGGUUCAGGCAUUAUGCUGGCCUACCCCUGUUACCUGGUGGAAUCUACUCAGGCAGUACCCUGGUCAGCCCAGUAUUCCCCGGGAACUAAGUCUGCACACGCAAGUGUAGAGGACCCCUUUAAAGACAGAGCCUUGCCCAUUUACGCUCUCUCUGCCCCUCUUCUCCUCUCUGCCUCUUCUCUUACGCUCUCUCUGCCCCUCUAUGGCAACGGCAUGGCGGUCAGUCAUUAACCCUGUUCCUCUUCUCUCUUAGUGUCUCUACUCGGCCAGGCCUAUGAUAAACUGGUUAAUAUGUCUCUUAGUCUCAUGUCUCAUCCUGCGCUUCUUCUUUUUCUUUCUUUUUAAUUUAAGGAAAAACCUAACAAUGGGGGCAAGGGCAAGGGGGGUGAAGACUGAUUAGAGGUCACAGGAUGAGCUGAUCAGGCAUCCUCGGGAAGAGCUGAGUCAUGGCUAUUGUUCUCAGGAAAUGAAAGGGAUACCCCUGCAUUCACACCAGCCACUUUCCCCAGGGGAAGAGAAAUCGAUCAGAGUGGGCGCAAACAGCAGCCAUUUUGUUGCUUACAUGCAAGUCCUAUUAAAGGAUAAGUGUGAGUGACUGUCACCUCCAGAGGAGAGACUGCACUCCUUCCGGAACAGUCAGUAAGAGGAGGUAAACCGAGGGACGGUUGUCCCCAACACAGCUGGACUGCAUAGGAUAAGAGGCUCGGGGAGCAAUGAGCAGGCGCUCCCUGGAGGAAGGGGAACAGGCAGGAAGAGUUGACAUUGCUCAGACGCAGCUCCCUCAUGGGUUUAGGAUUCAAGUUGAGGCAGAAGAAAGGGCAGGUAGAUGUGAGGCUAUUUAAACACAAGAAAGGAAAAGGUAGCCAGGAGAGAGAAGAGCUGGAGCCCAAGACAAGACUGGGGAAACAUGAAAUAGGUCGUCCUAGUGAACUUUAACUGCCAACUUGAUACAGCCCAGAGUCUGCCGAGAAAGGAGUCUGACUGAGGGAUUGCCCAGAACAGAUUGUCCUGUGGGCAUGUUAUGCAGGACUGUCUUUUGUUAACUGUUACAGGAGGGUCCAGGCCACUGCAGGUGGCACCAUUCCUUGGGCAGGUGGUCCUGAGCUGUAUGAGAAAGUUAAAUAAGCAUGAAACUGUGAACCAGUAAGAAGGGUUCCUUCAUGGUGUCUGCUUCAAGUUCCUGCCUGAAUUUUCUUCAGUGAUGAACUGUGACCUGGAAGUGUUCCAGUGAGCACCCCAGACUUGGAUGUUCACCAACGGAUG